GGAGAGGUGGCCGAGUGGCUGAAGGCGCUGGUCUCGAAAACCGGUAGGCGGGCAACCGCCUCGUGGGUUCGAAUCCCACCCUCUCCG
rnacentral:tRNA from 1 species